rnacentral:rRNA from 1 species
GUCUUUUUGAUAUUAAUUUAAAGUCAGGCCUGCCCAUUGAGAAUUUUAAAGGCCGCGGUAUUUUGACCGUGCAAAGGUAGCAUAAUCAUUAGUUUUUUAAUUGAAAGCUGGAAUGAAGGGUUAGAUGAAAAAAUUACUGUCUCUAUUUAAAUUUUAUUGAAUUUUAUUUUUAAGUUAAAAAGCUUAAAUUUUUUUAAAAGACGAGAAGACCCUAUAGAGUUUAAUAAAAUUAUUAUUUAGAAUAAUAUUUUAGAAUAAAUUUUAAAAAGUAAUAAGUUUAUUUGGUUGGGGUGAUUUAAUAAUUAGAAAAACUUAUUUUUUAAAAAUACAUUUAUUUAUGAUUUUUUGAUCCAAUUUUUUUGAUUAUAAGAAUAAAUUACCUUAGGGAUAACAGCGUAAUUUUUUUUGAGAGUUCUUAUCAAUAGAAAAGAUUGCGACCUCGAUGUUGGAUUAAAAUAAAUUUUUGGUGUAGAAGCUAAAAAAAUUAGGUCUGUUCGACCUUUAAAAUUUUACAUGAUCUGAGUUUAAACCGGUGUAAGCCAGGUUGGUUUCUAUCUUUAUAAUUAAUAAAAUAUUUUAGUACGAAAGGACCAAAUAUUUAUUAUUAUAAUUAUAUUUUUGAUUGAUAUUAUUAUUUUGGCAGAAUAGUGCAAUAGAUUUAGAAUCUUUUUAUAUAAUUAAAGUUAUAAAUAAUAAAUGAUUUUUGGUGAUUUAUAUUCUUUAAGUUUAACUAUAAUUUUAGUAUUAAUUUUUAUAUUAAUUAGGUGGCUUUUUUAACUUUAUUAGAGCGUAAAGUUUU